UGGAGAGUUUGAUCCUGGCUCAGGAUGAACGCUGGCGGCGUGCCUAAUACAUGCAAGUCGAGCGAACAGACGAGGAGCUUGCUCCUCUGACGUUAGCGGCGGACGGGUGAGUAACACGUGGAUAACCUACCUAUAAGACUGGGAUAACUUCGGGAAACCGGAGCUAAUACCGGAUAACAUGUUGAACCGCAUGGUUCAACAGUGAAAGACGGUCUUGCUGUCACUUAUAGAUGGAUCCGCGCCGCAUUAGCUAGUUGGUAAGGUAACGGCUUACCAAGGCAACGAUGCGUAGCCGACCUGAGAGGGUGAUCGGCCACACUGGAACUGAGACACGGUCCAGACUCCUACGGGAGGCAGCAGUAGGGAAUCUUCCGCAAUGGGCGAAAGCCUGACGGAGCAACGCCGCGUGAGUGAAGAAGGUCUUCGGAUCGUAAAACUCUGUUAUUAGGGAAGAACAAAUGUGUAAGUAACUAUGCACGUCUUGACGGUACCUAAUCAGAAAGCCACGGCUAACUACGUGCCAGCAGCCGGGGGUAAUAA
rnacentral:rRNA from 1 species